rnacentral:rRNA from 1 species
AACGAACGCUGGCGGCAGGCUUAACACAUGCAAGUCGAGCGCCCCGCAAGGGGAGCGGCAGACGGGUGAGUAACGCGUGGGAACGUACCUUUUGGUUCGGAACAACUCCGGGAAACUGGAGCUAAUACCGGAUAAGCCCUAACGGGGAAAGAUUUAUCGCCGAAGGAUCGGCCCGCGUCUGAUUAGCUAGUUGGUGAGGUAACGGCUCACCAAGGCGACGAUCAAUAGCUGGUCUGAGAGGAUGAUCAGGCACACUGGGACUGAGACACGGCCCAGACUCCUGCGGAAGGGAGCAGUGGGGAAUAUUGGACAAUGGGCGCAAGCCUGAUCCAGCCAUGCCGCGUGAGUGAUGAAGGCCUUAGGGUUGUAAAGCUCUUUUGUCCGGGAAGAUAAUGACUGUACCGGAAGAAUAAGCCCCGGCUAACUUCGUG